rnacentral:rRNA from 1 species
CCUACGGGAGGCAGCAGUGGGGAAUCUUGCGCAAUGGGCGAAAGCCUGACGCAGCCAUGCCGCGUGAAUGAUGAAGGUCUUAGGAUUGUAAAAUUCUUUCACCGGGGACGAUAAUGACGGUACCCGGAGAAGAAGCCCCGGCUAACUUCGUGCCAGCAGCCGCGGUAAUACGAAGGGGGCUAGCGUUGCUCGGAAUUACUGGGCGUAAAGGGAGCGUAGGCGGAUAGUUUAGUCAGAGGUGAAAGCCCAGGGCUCAACCUUGGAAUUGCCUUUGAUACUGGCUAUCUUGAGUGUGGGAGAGGUAUGUGGAACUCCGAGUGUAGAGGUGAAAUUCGUAGAUAUUCGGAAGAACACCAGUGGCGAAGGCGACAUACUGGCCCAUUACUGACGCUGAGGCUCGAAAGCGUGGGGAGCAAACAGGAUUAGAUACCCUGGUAGUCCACGCUGUAAACGAUGAGUGCUAGUUGUCGGCAUGCAUGCAUGUCGGUGACGCGAGCUACGCAUAAGACGACUCCGCCGUCGGGAGGUACGGUCGGCGAAGUAAGUUAAACGUUACGAAAGUAAGUUAGUUACGGCGNGAGACGNGCGACGGACGACGACGAGGGAGGAGG